rnacentral:rRNA from 1 species
UACAGAGGGUGCAAGCGUUAAUCGGAGUUACUGGGCGUAAAGGGCGCGUAGGCGGUUAUACAAGUGAGAUGUGAAAUCCCUGGGCUUAACCUAGGAAUUGCAUUUCAGACUGUAUGGCUUGAGUGCAGUAGAGGGUAGUGGAAUUUCCGGUGUAGCGGUGAAAUGCGUAGAGAUCGGAAGGAACACCAGUGGCGAAGGCGACUACCUGGACUGACACUGACGCUGAGGCGCGAGAGCGUGGGGAGCAAACAGG